rnacentral:rRNA from 1 species
UACGUAGGGGGCAAGCGUUUGUCCGGAUUUACUGGGCGUAAAGCGCCUGUAGGCGGAAGCUUAAGCGGUACCUGAAAGCCCCCGGCUCAACCGGGGAAGGUGGCGCCGAACUGGGCUUCUUGAGGGCGUAGAGGAAGGUGGAAUUCCGGGUGUAGCGGUGAAAUGCGUAGAGAUCCGGAGGACACCAGUGGCGAAGGCGGCCUUCUGGGUCGACC